CGGAGGGCGCAAGCGUUAUCCGGAUUUACUGGGUUUAAAGGGUGUGUAGGCGGACUUUUAAGUCAGCGGUGAAAUCUCCGGGCUCAACCCGGAAACUGCCAUUGAUACUAUUAGUCUUGAAUAUUGUUGAGGUGGGCGGAACGGGUCAUGUAGCGGUGAAAUGCAUAGAUAUGACCCGGAACACCGAUUGCGAAGGCAGCCCACUAAGCAAUUAUUGACGCUGAGGCACGAAAGCGUGGGGAUCAAACAGGAUUAGAUACCCUGGUAGUCCACGCCCUAAACGAUGAUUACUCGACGUUGGCGAUACACUGAUCAGCGUCCAAGCGAAAGCAUUAAGUAAUCCACCUGGGAAGUACGUUCGCAAGAAUG
rnacentral:rRNA from 1 species